UCCGUAGGUGAACCUGCGGAAGGAUCAUUACCAUUCAAAAAAACUUAGACCCACGGGGGCACGCUCUCCAAUAGGACAGUCAGUAGAUGUACGGUUCUGCUGGCUGGCAGCUGAACGGAAGGUAGUUUCCAUUUAUGGUUCUGCCUUGGCUAGUAAGCUGAUCGAGCUGCCUGUCUGACCCUACCCUUGCUUUUUGCGCACCCAUUGUUUCCUCGGCAGGCUUGCCUGCCAGUAGGACCCCCCUUUAAACCUCUUGUAAUUGCAAUCAGCGUCAGAAACAACGUAAUCGUUACAACUUUCAACAACGGAUCUCUUGGUUCUGGCAUCGAUGAAGAACGCAGCGAAAUGCGAUAAGUAGUGUGAAUUGCAGAAUUCAGUGAAUCAUCGAAUCUUUGAACGCACAUUGCGCCCCUUGGUAUUCCAUGGGGCAUGCCUGUUCGAGCGUCAUUUGUACCCUCCAGCCCUGCUGGGUGUUGGGCGUUUUGUUCCGCCGCGCGCGUGAACUCGCCUCAAAUGCAUUGGCAGCCAGCCGUCCCGCGUGGGAGCGCAGCACAUUUUGCGCUCUCCGCUGGGUGCGGCGGCGUCCACAAGCCUAUACCUUUACGCUUGACCUCGGAUCAGGUAGGGAUACCCGCUGAACUUAAGCAUAUCAAUAAGCGGAGGA
rnacentral:rRNA from 1 species